AUUGAACGCUGGCGGCAGGCCUAACACAUGCAAGUCGAGCGAGUGGCGGACGGGUGAGUAAUGUCUGGGGAACUGCCCGAUAGAGGGGGGUAACUACUGGAAACGGUAGCUAAUACCCCAUACUAUCGGAUGUGCCCAUAUGGGAUUAGCUUGUGGGUGAGGUAAGGGCUCACCAAGGCGACGAUCCCUAGCUGGUCUGAGAGGAUGACCAGCCACACGGGAACUGAGACACGGCCCAGACUCCUACGGGAGGCAGCAGUGGGGAAUAUUGCACAAUGGGCGCAAGCCUGAUGCAGCCAUGCCGCGUGUAGGAAGAAGGCCUUAGGGUUGUAAAGUACUUUCAGUCGGGAGGCGUUACCUGCAGAAGAAGCACCGGCUAACUCCGUGCCAGCAGCCGCGGUAAUUC
rnacentral:rRNA from 1 species